GACGAAGGUGGCGAGCGUUGUUCGGAAUCACUGGGCAUAAAGCGCACGUAGGCGGUGGCGUAAGUCGGGUGUGAAAUCCCUCGGCCCAACCGAGGAACUGCGCCCGAUACUGCGUUGCUUGAGGACCAAAGGGGUGCAUGGAAUUUCCGGUGGAGCGGUGAAAUGCGUUGAUAUCGGAAGGAACGUCGGCGGCGAAAGCGGUGCACUGGUUGGUCUCUGACGCGUGAGGU
rnacentral:rRNA from 1 species